AUGGCUGUCGUCAGCUCGUGUCGUGAGAUGUUCGGUUAAGUCCGCUAACGAGCGCAACCCUCGUCGUAUGUUAUAUGUGUCAUACGAGACUGCCGGUAAAAAGCCGGAGGAAGGUGAGGAUGAUGUCAAGUCAGCAUGACCUUUAUAUCCAGGGCUACACACACGCUACAAUGGUCUGUACAAUGGGUAGCCAAGCCGCGAGGCGGAGCCAAUCCUGAAAGCAGGCCUCAGUUCAGAUUGCAGUCUGCAACUCGACUGCAUGAAGCCGGAGUUGCUAGUAACCGCAGGUCAGCAAUACUGCGGUGAAUACGUUCCCGGGUCUU
rnacentral:rRNA from 1 species